AGCGCAGGUGGUUUAUUAAGUCUGGUGUAAAAGGCAGUGGCUCAACCAUUGUAUGCAUUGGAAACUGGUAGACUUGAGUGCAGGAGAGGAGAGUGGAAUUCCAUGUGUAGCGGUGAAAUGCGUAGAUAUAUGGAGGAACACCGGUGGCGAAAGCGGCUCUCUGGCCUGUAACUGACACUGAGGCUCGAAAGGCUGGGAGCAAACA
rnacentral:rRNA from 1 species